rnacentral:rRNA from 1 species
GCUAAACGCGAAGAACCUUACCUACUCUUGACAUCCACGGAAGACUGCAGAGAUGCGGUUGUGCCUUCGGGAACCGUGAGACAGGUGCCGCAUGGCUGUCGUCAGCUCGUGUUGUGAAAUGUUGGGUUAAGUCCCGCAACGAGCGCAACCCCUAUCCUUACUUUGUCCACGCACGUAAUAGGUGGGAACGUACUAGGGAGGACUGCCGGUGAUAAACCGGACGGAAGGUAGGGGACGGACGUCAAGUCAUCAUGGCCCGUUACCGAGUAGGGCGUACACACGUGCUACAAUGGCGAGUACAGAGGGUUGCAAAGACCGCGAGGUGGAGCUAAUCUCACAAAGCUCGUCGUAGUCCGGAUUGGAGUCUGCAACUCGACUCCAUGAAGUCGGAAUCGCUAGUAAUCGUGGAUCAGAAUGCCACGGUGAAUACGUUCCCGGGUCUUGUACACACCG